rnacentral:rRNA from 1 species
CAGUCGCCGCGGGAAAACAGAGGGUGCAAGCGUUAAUCGGAAUUACUGGGCGUAAAGCGCGCGUAGGUGGUUUGUUAAGUUGGAUGUGAAAGCCCCGGGCUCAACCUGGGAAAUGCAUCCAAAACUGGCAAGCUAGAGUACGGUAGAGGGUGGUGGAAUUUCCUGUGUAGCGGUGAAAUGCGUAGAUAUAGGAAGGAACACCAGUGGCGAAGGCGACCACCUGGACUGAUACUGACACUGAGGUGCGAAAGCGUGGGGAGCAAACAGGAUUAGAUACCCGAGUAGUCCCUGUCUCUUAUAC